rnacentral:rRNA from 1 species
GGGUGGACAGGGAGACAGGUGGUGGCAUGGUUGUCGGUCAGCUCGUGUCGUGAGAUGUGGGUUAAGUCCGCAACGAGCGCAACCCCACGUUUAGUUGCUAACGCGUGAAGGCGAGCACUCUAGACGAACUGCCGUUGACAAAACGGAGGAAGGUGGGGAUGACGUCAAAUCAUCAUGCCCCUUAUGUUCUGGGCUACACACGUGCUACAAUGGCCGGUACAGACGGACGCAAAGCCGCGAGGUGGAGCAAAUCCUAAAAAGCCGGUCUCAGUUCGGAUUGCAGGCUGCAAUUCGCCUGCAUGAAGUCGGAAUCGCUAGUAAUCGCAGGUCAGCAUACUGCGGUCGAAUACGUUCCCGGGCCUU